GUCGCGGUAGUGUCCAUUUAGAUAUAGCACCGUGUUAAUAAUGAGUGAAAUUAAGCGUGAUCCGAUAUAGUGAUGGCCAGACUCGAUUCAACUGGUUUCAGAUCCAGUCAUGAUGAAUGCUUCGAACCUCUUCCAAGAGAUUUUCCUUGAUUGUAUCAGCUCGAACAUUGUAAUUAAAGUAUUGUACUGUG